rnacentral:rRNA from 1 species
UCAGAUUGAACGCUGGCGGCAUGCCUUACACAUGCAAGUCGAACGGUAACAGGUCUUCGGAUGCUGACGAGUGGCGAACGGGUGAGUAAUACAUCGGAACGUGCCCGAUCGUGGGGGAUAACGGAGCGAAAGCUUUGCUAAUACCGCAUACGAUCUACGGAUGAAAGCAGGGGACCGCAAGGCCUUGCGCGGACGGAGCGGCCGAUGGCAGAUUAGGUAGUUGGUGGGAUAAAAGCUUACCAAGCCGACGAUCUGUAGCUGGUCUGAGAGGACGACCAGCCACACUGGGACUGAGACACGGCCCAGACUCCUACGGGAGGCAGCAGUGGGGAAUUUUGGACAAUGGGCGAAAGCCUGAUCCAGCCAUGCCGCGUGCAGGAUGAAGGCCUUCGGGUUGUAAACUGCUUUUGUACGGAACGAAAAGACUCCUUCUAAUAAAGGGGGUCCAUGACGGUACCGUAAGAAUAAGCACCGGCUAACUACGUGCCAGCAGCCGCGGUAAUACGUAGGGUGCAAGCGUUAAUCGGAAUUACUGGGCGUAAAGCGUGCGCAGGCGGUUAUAUAAGACAGAUGUGAAAUCCCCGGGCUCAACCUGGGAACUGCAUUUGUGACUGUAUAGCUAGAGUACGGUAGAGGGGGAUGGAAUUCCGCGUGUAGCAGUGAAAU